GUGUCAGCAGCCGCGGUAAUACGGAAGGUGCAAGCGUUGUUCGGAAUGACUGGGCGUAAAGCGCACGUAGGCGGGUUCGCAAGUCGGAUGUGAAAGCCCUGGGCUCAACCUAGGAACUGCACCCGAAACUACGAAUCUUGAAUGCCUGAGAGGUUGGCGGAAUUCCUGGUGUAGGAGUGAAAUCCGUAGAUAUCAGGAGGAACAUCGGAGGCGAAGGCGGCCAACUGGUGGUGCAUUGACGCUAAGGUGCGAAAGCGUGGGGAGCAAACAGGAUUAGAUACCCUGGUAGUCCACGCCGUAAACUAUGGAUACUAGGUGUUCGGGAAGUUAACCUCCUGAGUACUAAAGCUAACGCAUUAAGUAUCCCGCCUGGGGAGUACGGUCGCAAGGCUAAA
rnacentral:rRNA from 1 species